rnacentral:rRNA from 1 species
GAUGAACGCUGACAGAAUGCUUAACACAUGCAAGUUUUUGGCGAAGCUGUGCUUGCACAGCCUAGCCAAGGCGGACGGGUGAUUAACGCGUAAGGAACUUGCCCUGCAGUCAGGGAUAACAGACGGAAACGCCUGAUAAGACCUGGUAAAGUCAGGCGGACUCAUGUCCAGCCUGAUGAAAAGAGAUGCUGCAGGAGAGCCUUCCGUCCUAUUAGCUUGUUGGUGGGGUAACGGCCCACCACGGCGAUGUUAGGUAGCCGGCCUGAGAGGGGGGACGGCCACAAGCGGACUGAGAGACGGCCCUUACUCCUACGGGAGGCAGCAGUGGGGAAUAUUGGACAAUGGGAGCAACCCUGAUCGAGCAAUUCUGUGUGGACGAUAAAGGUUUUCGGAGUGUAAAGUGCUUUCAGCAGGGAAGAAAAAAAUGACGGUACCUGCAGAAGAAGCGACGGCUAAAUACGUG